rfam:Callithrix jacchus chromosome X, whole genome shotgun sequence
AUAGGUUUUUGCUCAUGCACCAUGGUUGUCUGAGCAUGCAGCAUGCUUGUCUGCUCAUACCCCAUGGUUUCUGAGCAGGAAUCUUC